rnacentral:rRNA from 1 species
AUUGAACGCUGGCGGCAGGCCUAACACAUGCAAGUCGAGCGGCUGCAGAGUGGUUGCUCCUGGAUUCAGGGGCGGAGUGGUGGAUGGUGCCUAGAUACAUCGCAGUCCGUUGGGGAUCAGGUCCGAAUACCGGCGCCAUUACCCUAUACGUCCAUAGGCCGUAAGUGGGUGAGCUUCGGAUCUCUCGCCAUCAUGCGAGCCAAGGUCGGAUUAGCUAGUUGGCUGGGUAACGGCCUACCAAGGCGCCGAGCCGUAACUCGUCCGAGAGGAUGAUCAGUCACACGGGAACUGAGACAGGGUCCAGACUCCUACGGGAAGCAGCAGUGGGGAAUAUUGGACAAUGGGCGAAAGCCUGAUCCAGCAAUGCCGAGUGUGUGAAGAAGGACUUAGGAUUGUAAAGCACUUUAAGUUGGAAGGAAGGGCAGUAAGUUAAGAUCUUGCUGUUAUGACGUUACCAACAGAAUAGGCACCGGCUAACUUCGUG